rnacentral:sRNA from 1 species
UAAAGCCGAAUUGCUCCGGCCUGAGGAGA